UCAGGAACACAGGGGCGACAAAGGGCUCCCCACCAAACCCUAGUUCUUGUCAAAAUUGAUCAAAUUGGAAGUCCUAAUCUGUUCCAAAUCAAUUUCCAAGCACAAAAUAGUGAUCCCCUUUGAGAAAGGAUCAUAAGGCAAGAAAAUCGGAACGUCAAGUGGACAAGCUAGUGGUGAUACGCGUUUGAAGGGAACGCUUUGAAGGUGAAUGUCGAGAGUCCCGGAUGAAGAUCAAGCGUCGAGCAAGAACCGAACACACGUUAAAUGAAGCUUCCGCAAGUUGUUUCGUCGUUAUUCUAAAACGAUGAAUUGAAUUACAAUAUGUUGUUUUGCUUUCAAAGUUUAGAAAAGUUUUA